rnacentral:rRNA from 1 species
AUUGAACGCUGGCGGCAGGCUUAACACAUGCAAGUCGAGCGGAGAUGAGUGCUUGCACCUUAUCUUAGCGGCGGACGGGUGUGUAAUGCGUAGGUAUCUGCCUAUUAGUGGGGGACAACAUUCCGACAGGAAUGCUAAUACCGCAUACGUCCUACGGGAGAAAGAAGGGGAUCGUGGGACCUUGCUCUAAUAGAUGAGCCUGAGUCGGAUUAGCUAGUUGGUGGGGUAAAGGCCUACCAAGGCGACGAUCUGUAGCGGGUCUGAGAGGAUGAUCCGCCACACUGGGACUGAGACACGGCCCAGACUCCUACGGGAGGCAGCAGUGGGGAAUAUUGGACAAUGGGGGGAACCCUGAUCCAGCCAUGCCGCGUGUGUGAAGAAUGCCUUAUGGUUGUAAAGCACUUUAAGCGAGGAGGAGGCUACUGAGACUAAUACUCUUGGAUAGUGGACGUUACUCGCAGAAUAAGCACCGGCUAACUCUGUGCCAGCAGCCGCGGUAAAAC